rnacentral:rRNA from 1 species
UACGUAGGGCGCAAGCGUUGUCCGGAAUUAUGGGCGUAAAGAGCUCGUAGGCGGCCUAGUUGCGUCUGCUGUGAAAUCCCGGGGCUCAACCCCGGGCGUGCAGUGGAUACGGGCUGGGCUAGAGGCAGGCAGGGGGAGAACGGAAUUCCCGGUGUAGCGGUGAAAUGCGCAGAUAUCGGGAGGAACGACCGGUGGCGAAGGCGGGUCUCUGGGACGAGUUCCUCGACGGCUGAGGCACGAAGGCCAGGGGAGCAAACGGGAAUUAG